rnacentral:rRNA from 1 species
AUUGAACGCUGGCGGAAUGCUUUACACAUGCAAGUCGAGCGGCAGCGCGGGGGCAACCCUGGCGGCGAGCGGCGAACGGGUGAGUAAUACAUCGGAACGUACCCAGUGGUGGGGGAUAACACAUCGAAAGAUGUGCUAAUACCGCAUACGACCUGAGGGUGAAAGGGGGGGAUCGCAAGACCUCUUGCCGUUGGAGCGGCCGAUGUCGGAUUAGAUAGUUGGUGGGGUAAAGGCUCACCAAGGCGACGAUCCGUAGCUGGUCUGAGAGGAUGAUCAGCCACACUGGGACUGAGACACGGCCCAGACUCCUACGGGAGGCAGCAGUGGGGAAUUUUGGACAAUGGGGGCAACCCUGAUCCAGCCAUUCCGCGUGAGUGAAGAAGGCCCUCGGGUUGUAAAGCUCUUUCGGCAGGAACGAAACGGUGGGGGCUAAUAUCCUUCAUCAAUGACGGUACCUGAAGAAGAAGCACCGGCUAACUACGUGCCAGCAGCCGCGGUAA